AUCCCGGAUAAGCCCCCAGAUGAAAGAUCCCCGAAGAGAGACCCUUUCUAAACUCGCGGGAAAUCGCGGACCCCAGACACAGAGAGACCA
rnacentral:miRNA from 14 species